rnacentral:misc_RNA from 1 species
GAAAUGCGAUAAGUAAUGUGAAUUGCAGAAUUCAGUGAAUCAUCGAAUCUUUGAACGCACAAUGCGCUCGCCAGUAUUCUGGCGAGCAUGCCUGUUCGAGCGUCAUUUCAACCAUCAAGCUCUGCUUGCGUUGGGGAUCCGCGGCUGCCCGCGGUCCCUCAAAAACAGUGGCGGGCUCGCUAGUCACACCGAGCGUAGUAACUCUACAUCGCUAUGGUCGUGCGGCGGGUUCUUGCCGUAAAACCCCCAAUUUCUAAGGUUGACCUCGGAUCAGGUAGGAAUACCCGCUGAACUUAAGC